rnacentral:sRNA from 1 species
AAAAGAUAAAGAAAAA